GACGAACGCUGGCGGCGUGCUUAACACAUGCAAGUCGAACGGAAAGGCCCUGCUUUUGUGGGGUGCUCGAGUGGCGAACGGGUGAGUAACACGUGAGUAACCUGCCCUUGACUUUGGGAUAACUUCAGGAAACUGGGGCUAAUACCGGAUAGGAGCUCCUGCUGCAUGGUGGGGGUUGGAAAGUUUCGGCGGUUGGGGAUGGACUCGCGGCUUAUCAGCUUGUUGGUGGGGUAGUGGCUUACCAAGGCUUUGACGGGUAGCCGGCCUGAGAGGGUGACCGGCCACAUUGGGACUGAGAUACGGCCCAGACUCCUACGGGAGGCAGCAGGGGGGAAUAUUGCAGAAUGGGCGGAAGCCUGAUGCAGCAACGCCGCGUGCGGGAUGACGGCCUUCGGGUUGUAAACCGCUUUCGCCUGUGACGAAGCGUGAGUGACGGUAAUGGGUAAAGAAGCACCGGCUAACUACGUG
rnacentral:rRNA from 1 species